rnacentral:rRNA from 1 species
UGCCAGCCGCCGCGGUAAUACGAAGGGACCUAGCGUAGUUCGGAAUUACUGGGCUUAAAGAGUUCGUAGGUGGUUGAAAAAGUUAGUGGUGAAAUCCCAGAGCUUAACUCUGGAACUGCCAUCAAAACUUUUCAGCUAGAGUAUGAUAGAGGAAAGCAGAAUUUCUAGUGUAGAGGUGAAAUUCGUAGAUAUUAGAAAGAAUACCAAUUGCGAAGGCAGCUUUCUGGAUCAUUACUGACACUGAAAGACGAAAGCUAGGGGAGCAAAUGGGAUUAGAUA